GACAGAGGAGCCAAGCGUUGUCCGGAUUGACUGGGCGUAAAGCGCACGCAGGCGGCCCGGCGCGUGGGGUGUGAAAGCUGGCGGCUUAACUGCCAGAUGCCAUCCCAUACGGCUGGGCUCGAGCCCUGCAGACGGUCCGAUGGGAAUUGCCGGUGUAGUGGUGAAUGCGUAGAGAUCGGCAGGAACACCCAGGGGGAAACCGAGUGGACUGG
rnacentral:rRNA from 1 species